GUAAACCCUGCUUAAAUUUAGGUUUGCUAAAUGAACUGCUUAUUAAUUAUUUUAGCCAUUUUUUCAUAUAUAUUUAUCAAAUUAAUCAAAUGUUAAUUUUUAAUGGUUUAUACUAUUAUUUCUUGGAUUAUCAAUGAUCCACUAUAACCUUCUUUUUUUAAUGAUCCACUAUAACUGAUGACUGAUUAAGUGUCUAAAAGUCAGCCGAAAUAUAAAUAUCGUAUUCAGCAGCUUGCUUACUCCUUUUCGCUUUCUUCUCAUCAAAAGAUGACCAUCACAUCAUUUUGCUGCAUUCUUAAUGCCUAUGUUUUGGCUUGCCCAUUGCUCUUUUGGCUGUUUUGUUUCUCGUUUCUUGCCUUUGUGCCUCUUUUAUGAAAUCAUGUUUUGAUACAAACAACAUGCGACAUGCGAUAUCAAAAACAGGACCUCAUAUACAAAAAAGGCUCGCAAUUACUUAAGUUACGAGCCUCUCAUAUGUUUGCAAUUAAUUUGAGCUUGAUAAUCAUGUGCACACUAACUGAAUAGCUCAUUUCCUUUAAUUCUGAAUAUAAUUGUAUAAUUGAUUAAAAACCCAUUUAGGCGAACCUUUUGAGACAAUUUCCCUACUAUUAUUGCCCUAAGAGCUGCGACUUAGGCGAUCUGUUAAUCAAUCUUAGUCAACAAAAUAUUAUAAUCUUAUUUAAAAUUGCCAACAGAAUUAAAGAAUAUAAGGCAUAUUCAUGAUAUUAAUUAUUUAGUCAACCUAUACAUUUAAAUAAUUUGAAGUCAUUGUUUUCGAAAUGUUUUAAUUAAAAUUAUUUGAGAAUAUUUUAGAUUUUGGAAGUUGCUUAAUUAGCAAGAACAAGAUGCAUGGGUUGAGUUAAUUAGCCUCUACUGGCAAGUUGAAUUGAUAAGCGCCUAAGGAAGCUUUGGCCCUAAUUAAACAAGUUUGAACAUGUGUUUAUGUAGUAAUUAACCUUCUUCAUUUACUUCAAACGAUUGAUAAUUGUCAUGUGUAUAUGGAACAGUGGAGAAGUCGGUGUCAGAGUAAGAGAGCACCGACUGAUCUAAUGUAUACGAAACAGUUUUUAUUGGGUCAAACACAAAAAAUGAAAUUAAAAAAUAGGGUUACCUUGUGUGGCGAAGUAAUUAAAUGACUUUUUUUUUUUUGUUCUGUCAGGAAAUUAUUAAACGACUUUGAUCAACAAAAAUAAUACCUACUGUUCAAUAAAUUAGGAUUAUAGUUGCAGUGAGUCAAAAGAUCCCACUAUGAGAUGAAGGAAACAGGUUAUCCUUAGCAAGUCAAUUUGUAUUCGUUUUGACCCAAGUGUACAGAGGAGGAUGCCAAAGAAUGGGAACAAUAUAAGGAGCUUCCAUAGCUCAUCGACAAAAUUAUAGAGACUAAAAGUGCUUAUUUAAAACUAUUGAUUUCUCAUUAUUCGAAUUUGAUUGGAACCGAUGACUUACGUCUAUUUCCUAGUGUUACGGGAUGACUCUUUAAGCCUUCCGCCCGUGCGGCACUUAGACUUGAAUACCUCGAUGAACAAGCUAAGUAAGCCUUCGAAGCCUCGCUUCCCCGGAUCGAAUCACAAAGAAAGCUAAGAUAGCUUGGAGAAUGCUAAAAUCACUUAGAAGAUGGGAGAAAGGAAGCUUUGUAUUGAAACUUAAGAGAACUUUACAAUUGCUUACAAUUCUUGGAUGCCUUGGCCAAAUGGCCUUGCCUCCUAUUUAUAGGCCUAAGUCACCUCCUCAAUGGAGGGUUCUAGAAUUCCCUACUUUCAUCCAAAAAUAUCUAGCAUAGUUCUAGAUACAUCUUGCCUAAUCUACAUUGUUCUAGGUGAGGCUUAAAUUUGUACACUUGUGUGGAAUGUUCCGGAAUGCCCUAGAUUAUCUUGAACGCUCCGCCAUGUUCUUGAUUUUUCCGGGAUGUUCCAGAAGCUUCCAUGAAGACAAGGCUUUAUGGGCUUAGAUAUAUGAUGUCUUAGGUGAUUUCUUUGUUUUUAACUUAUGGCCCGUGACAUCCUCCCCCACUUAAGACGUAGACGUCCUCGUCGACUCUUGCCUCUCGAAUGUCUGAAUCAAGUCCUUAUAUUGCCAUAAGGACGUCUCUUUCUCCCAUGUUGCUUCGGAGUAUGGUAGCCCCUUCCAUUUGACAAAGUACUCCACAUGCUUUGGUUGUCUUGGUCGCACCACGACACGCUUGGCUUCAAUGCUCUCCGCUUCUUUGUCAAAUGCCUCCGUCAUCAAAGGGGGUGCUUGAUAAGACUCACCUCGACUUGGUUCUUCAUCGUCUGCAUGAUAAGGCUUCAAGUUGCUCACAUGGAACACCGGGUGAAACUUGAGGCGGGGUGGGAGUUCCACAACAUACGCGGCUUUGCCAACCUUCUUAAUGAUAAGGAAUGAUCCCUCAUAUUUCCGCAACAAGCUCUUGUGCAAGCCACGAGUACUCUUGUGUUGAGACGCAUUGAGCUUCACAAAGACUUGGUCGCCAGUUUGGAACUCCACAUUCCUUCGCUUACGAUCCGCCCAUUUCUUCAUCUUCUUUGAAGCCUUCUCCAAAUGAGCUUGAGCAAGUUCGCGGGCUAAUUGCCACUCCUUAACGGUUUUGAAAGCGGCUGGACUAUUCCCCGUGUAGUUAGUCACGACCGUGUUCGGGGUCAAGGGUUGUUGCCCUAUAGCCAACUCGAACGGACUUUUCCCCGUCGACUCCGAACGUUGCAAGUUAUAAGAAAAUUGGGCAACAUCAAGUAACUUAGCCCAAUCUCGUUGAUUGGCAUUAACAUAGUGCCGUAAAUAAGUCUCCAACAAUGCAUUAACCCGCUCCGUUUGUCCAUCAGUUUGGGGAUGAAAAGCUGUGGAGAAGUCUAACUUUGAGCCAAGUAGCUUGAAGAGUUCCUUCCAAAAUCUUCCCGUGAAGCGAGCAUCUCAAUCACUGACUAUGCUCCUCGGAACACCCCAAUACUUCACCACGUGCUUUAGAAACAAGCGUGCAGCUACUUCGGUUGUGCACUCCAUAGGUGCGGGUAUGAAAGUGGCAUACUUGGUGAAUCUAUCGACCACGACGAAGAUAGAUCCAUAUCCAUCAGACUUGGGCAAAUGUGUGAUGAAAUCCAUGGUUAAACACUCCCAUGGUCUUGAUGGGGUGGGAAGUGGUUCCAACAGUCCUCCCGGUUGCCUUUGUUCCCCUUUGUCUUGUUGGCACACAAGACAAGUCUUCACGUAUGAAUCUACAUCAUCCCGCAUUUGUGGCCAAUAAUAAGCAUCGCUCACCAAAGCCAACGUGCGGUGAGUGUCAGAAUGUCCUGCCCACAUUGAGUCGUGGCACUCCUUAAGGAUUUAUUUCCUUAAGCUUCCCCACUUUGGGACGUAGAUCCGCUUGCCCUUGGUGUAUAGCAAGCCGUCCUCAAGCCAAAACCUUCUUGUCUUCCCAUCCUUGACAAACUCCACAAUGUUCUUGGCUUGGACGUCAUGUGAUAAACCUUCUCGGACACGGCCCAAGAGAUGGCUUUGCGGCUUGAGUACCGUAGCCAUUAACUCUACUCGUCUACUUAGAGCAUCGGCCACCACGUUCUCCUUUCCUUGCUUGUACUCUAGCUUGUAAUCAAACUCCGCUAAGAACUCUUGCCACCUUGCUUGCUUAGGUGUGAGCUUUUGUUGGGUUUGAAAGUAGCUAGUGGCAACGUUGUCCGUCUUGAUGAUGAAUGGGGUACCAAGCAAGUAAUGCCUCCAAACUCUAAGGCAAUGGACGAUGACGGUCAUCUCCUUUUCAUGGGUCGUGUACCUUUUCUCAGCAUUGUUUAGCUUGCGACUUUCAUAGGUUAUCGGAUGUCCUUCUUACAUCAACACUCCUCCUAUGGCAAAGUCGGAAGCAUCAGUGUGCAACUCGAAUGGCUUGCUAAGGUCGGGCAACCUUAGUACAUGCUCCUCCAUUAGGGCCUUCUUCAACCUCUCAAAGGCCUCUUAACACCGGUCCGUCCAUUCUCAUGCCUUGUUCUUCUUAAGAAGGUCUGUUAAGGGUGCCGCUAUGGCUGAAUACCCUUUAAUAAAUCUCCGAUAGUAGUUGGCUAGCCCCAGAAAGGAUCGUAGUGUUGGUACCUUGGUCGGCGGUUCCCACUUUUGAAUGGCCUUGAUCUUGCCCUUUUCCAUCAUAAGUUUCCCCUCCCUUAUCUUGUGGCCAAGAAAUUCUACUUCUUUUGUGGCAAAGGAGCAUUUCUCCUUCUUGACAUAGAGUUCAUGCUCCCGAAGGGUCUUGAACACUAUGCGCAAGUGCUUGACGUGCUCCUCCAAUGUCUUACUAUAGACAACGAUAUCAUCAAUGUAAACCACGACAAACUUGUCAAGAUAAGGAUGGAAUACCUUGUUCAUCAAUGUGCAGAAUGUUGCGGGGGCAUUGGUUAGACCAAAUGGCAUGACUUUAUACUCGAACGAUCCAUAUAUGGUCACCAUCGCCGUCUUCGAUUCGUCUCCAGGGGCUAUCCUCACUUAGUAGUAUCCCGAUCGAAGAUCUAACUUUGUGAAGUACCUUGCUUCACCAAGUUGAUCGAAUAAGUCGGCGAUCAACGGAAGUGGGUACUUGUUCUUGAUGGUAAUCUUGUUCAAUGCUCUAUAGUCGAUGCACAACCUUAGGCUACCUUCUUUCUUGCGUUGGAACAAGACGGGUGCACCAUAUGAGGACUUGGAGGGUUGGAUGUAGCCAGCAUUAAGUAGCUCGUUGAGUUGCUUCCUCAAUUCCUCCAACUCGGGUGGCGACAUCCUAUAAGGUGAUUUGGAGGGAAGCUUAGCACCAGGCUCCAACUCAAUCGCAUGGUCGACCUCUCUCAUUGGUGGCAACUUCUUUGGCAAUUCCUUAGGCAUCACGUCCGCAAACUCCAUAAGGACGGCUUCCACUUGUUUCGGCAAAGGCCCGUACUUCUCAUCCCCUUCAUUCAACAUUAGGGUUGCAAGAAAUGUGGCCUCGCCUUUCUUCCAAGACUUGGCAAAUUGAAUUGCCGACAAGUGCUGGGUACACUUCUUAGCUUGCCUUUCCAAUGGCACCAGGCAAGGUUGUCUUCCGUCGGCCAGGAUACAGAAAAUAUUGUAGAAGGGAAUGGGAAAGGCUCGUACCUUGUCCAUGAACUCUAACCCAAUGACUACGCCAUAGUCGUCCAUCUUGACUACGGUGAAGUCGAUCUUUCCCUUCCAUGUGCCAAUGUCUACUUGUACAUUGCGCGCAACUCCAACAAUGGGGGUGGCAGCGGAAUUUACCGUCUUCACACUACCAGGCUUCUUUGUGACUCGGAGGCCAAGCCUUGUGGCUUCCUCCGACGUCAUGAAGUUGUGGGUUGCUCCCGUGUCCACCAACACACGCGUCGUCUUGUCACCAGUCUUGACGUCGACGAACAAUGAUCUUCCCCCAACUUGAGCCUUAGGUUGUGGGAAGGUUGUUUAGAUAGCAUUCAGUAGACGGAUGCAUCCCAUCCUUGCAUCGUUACUCUCUUCGGCCUUGUCGUCCUUGAAAGCCAUGGCCUUAAGGGCCUUCUUUUGUGGGCAAUCUCGCAUCAUGUGAGGGCCGUCGCAUAGGUAACAAGUGGGUUGCCAAGACUUACCCUUGCUUUUGUCAUGCUUAUCAGCUUUCUUCUCCUUUGGUUUGCUUGUCUCGGCCUUGUCCUUCAGCUUAUGUUCUCCCCCACUUCUCUCAUGGUUACCCCUCUUCCCCGUGGACUUGGAAUCACCUUGGUGGCUUGAUUUAAACUCAAUCAAGGAUUCGGCGGCGGCAAUGGCAUCAGACAAUGUUUGCACGUGUCUCCUUUGUAGUUCGAGUUUUGCCCAAUUUUGCAGUCCACUCAUGAAGUACAUGAGCUUGUCUUCCUCUAACAUGUUGGGCACCUCGAAUAACAAGCUCACGAAGGCGUUGACAUAGUCUUUGACGCUCCCCGUUUGCUUGAGCCACCUUAGUUUCUCCUUGGUUUCGUACUUGGCAUUUUGGGGAUAAAAGUGCAACAUAAGAUCUUUCUUAAAUUCAUCCCAAGUGGUGAGGGAGAACGUACCUUGCUCAAUCUCCAUGCUCCGGCGACGCCACCACAUAAGGGCAUUGUCAGCUAAGAACAUGGUUGCCGUUGAGAUUUUGGACUCGUCAUCUUCAAGCUUCAGGUACUUGAAGUAUCGCUCCACGUUCCACACGAAUGUGUCGAGCUCAUUUGCUUCCCUCUUCCCAUUAUAGGAUUUGGGUUUAAAGGAGUCGAUUACCUUGGAGUCCAACGCCUUGAUUUCCCUCAGCCCUUGCACGAAUUGAUUCACGACCGCUUCUUUACAAAACGCCACAUUUCCCUUAAGUUCCCUUGUGUCCUUUAUCUCUUCUUGAAGCGCCACAAACCUUGCCUCUAUGUUGUCAAGGUGAACCUGGACUUCCCUCCGUAUCUUGUCUACCAUGGUGUUGAGAGCGCCAAUGAGCUCAUCUCGUAGCCCUUCCACCAAGCCACGCAGUUCAUCCUUACCAUUGUCCACCAUGGUUUGGAUUUCCUCAUUGUCGACAACGUCCUCAUCAAGUCGAGUAUCGAACUCGAGUAUGGUUCGUUCCACCUUCUCGAGUCACUCUUCCAUGGUCUCCAUCGAUGCUUGCAAGUCCUUUAACUUUAGCUUGCUCUUGGCAACAUCUUGGACCUCGGCAGUACGCUCCCUUAGCUCGGAGACUCCGGACACCAUCUCUCCACUUGCCAUAUCCUACUUUCCUUCAAGUGAUUCGCGAACUAGGCUCUGAUACCAGCUGUCACGGGAUGACUCUUUAAGCCUUCCGCCCGUGCGGCACUUAGACUUGAAUACCUCGAUGAACAAGCUAAGUAAGCCUUCGAAGCCUCGCUUCCCCGGAUCGAAUCACAAAGAAAGCUAAGAUAGCUUGGAGAAUGUUAAAAUCACUUAGAAGAUGGGAGAAAGGAAGCUUUGUAUUGAAACUUAAGAGAACUUUACAAUUGCUUACAAUUCUUGGAUGCCUUGGCCAAAUGGCCUUGCCUCCUAUUUAUAGGCCUAAGUCACCUCCUCAAUGGAGGGUUCUAGAAUUCCCUACUUUCAUCCAAAAAUAUCUAGCAUAGUUCUAGAUACAUCUUGCCUAAUCUAGAUUGUUCUAGGUGAGGCUUAAAUUUGUACACUUGUGUGGAAUGUUACGGAAUGCCCUAGAUUAUCUUGAACGCUCCGCCAUGUUCUUGAUUUUUCCGGGAUGUUCCAGAAGCUUCCAUGAAGACAAGGCUUUAUGGGCUUAGAUAUAUGAUGUCUUAGGCGAUUUCUUUGUUUUUAACAUAUGGCCCGUGACACUAGGACGUUUAAAGAUCGCGGCUCUACUACUUAGUUAAAAAGGUCCAUCCGCAAAUAUGACUGGGAAAGAAAGCUUCAAACUACCUAACCAAAUCAAAGUAUGAUGACGUAUAUGUAAAAUAAAGAGUUUUGCUUUCAAACUUCACUUUAUUUCAUAUUUUCUACAUAGCCAUUAGCAAGAUAAAGCAUGCAGCCAUCUAAACAUUUCAGAGCUAUGAGAAAAUUGCUUCGACAUAAAAAGAGCUAGUUAGCUAAAAAAACAAUGCCAAAUUGAGAAGAAAACCAAAGCCAACCAUGUUGUGCAACCUCGUAGCUAAAAAGUAUGUGUGAUCAAUGAUUCAGAGUUGUAGUAAUCAACCUCCUCCAUUGGAAGCUUAUUGAAGAUUAUCCGCCAAAUCAAAAAGAGGAGGGGGAUGAAUGAACGCCAAAUAAUAUUGGAAACUUAACUUUGAACAAAAAUCGAUUUCAACAAUUUCAUAGCCAUCAGAAAAAGUAAAAGCCCCAGAAGAACAAGCUUCUCAAAUCAACAAAUCAUUGUCCUUACAAUAGGAAACGGUCCUUCAACUUUGAAGAAAAAAAGAGACAAUAAUCUAUUUGAAUAUUUUUCCAUGCUAAUAAUAUCUGAGACCUUAGUGUGAAAUAGAGAAGCAUCGAACUUAGUAACACUAACAUCCUCUAAAAUUGGCGUACCCAAUCACUUGCCAACCCAAAAAGAGUUAUUAGAUCCAUUCCCGAUCACCCAACAGGAAUUUUGAAACAAAAUAGGGACAAUAUAUUUAGUUUUGAAUCUUUUGAUGCAUCGAACAACCCUAAUAAGCUUGAACAAAAUGGGAAAUUAAUUAGUUGCUAACAUGCUUGGAUGCCUCACUAACCAACCAAAUUAGUAUUUCAGUUAAGGAACCCUUCCACAUGGAAUCUCACAUGUAGAUUGAUUCAAUACAUAGAUGAAAACAAAUGUUAUUUUAGUCUCUCAAGAGCUUGAAUUGCUUUGACGCAUUGGACUGUUUUUCUAUCUGAUGAAACAUUAUUGGGCUUGAAGUUCUGUAAGCAAUAAAGAGAGCUAAUUUGGGCUUGAGUUUGAUUUUUUAUUUUUUUGUCAAUGGGCUUGAGUUUGUUUGGCAAAGGAGCUACCUCUAUACCUCCCUCCACGUCUUAUUUUUUCAUAUGCAAGGUGAUGUGAACUUCAAGUGCCAAAAUUGGUCUUUGACACCUAUUUUCCACCGCCAACCAACCCUCUCCCUGCUUUUGUGACAUCAACCGUAUAUAAAUACGUUUUACCGCAGUUGAUAUUUGUUCAUUCUACUACGGAUUUAGUUUCCACUAAUUCUCUUUCUCCUUGAUAACUAAAUCAGUUGGAAGAUAAAACAUUUUAAAUAAUAGGAAAACUAAUGAAAAAUGCUUGAAAACUUUGAGUUUUAACGAUAAGGACAAAAUAAAAGGUAAAAUAAAUAGUACCAUAUUUGACCUUUUAGUGUAAAAAUGUGGUUUUUCAUUAAAGUGAACAGUACCGCGGGCUUUUUAUUAAAACUUCCUUUAAUAAUACUACACUUAAUUAUCCUUAAAACCUUUCUUUCUCCAUGUAAUUAUAUAAUAAUAAGGAUUUGAUCUAAAAAUCAAAUUCUAAUACGAUAAUCCCUAAGAUAAGAUUGUCGAAUGAGUACGAGUUAUGGAUGAGUAUGACAAUCCAUUUAUAUUCAAUUGAUAUAUACAUAGUGAUAUUGAUGCGCAAUCUAUUUUAAUUCAAGGCAAAUCAAAUUACGUCGGAGUUGUCUUACUAGUGUCGGAUCUAGAAAUUUUACUUAACGGAGCAAAAUUAGGAAGAAUUAAACACCAAUCUUAUCAAAUUAAAAAGUAAAAAUAACAAAUAACCCACAAAAUCUUAACGUGUCUAGGCACACGCUCAACUUGCCAUAUUUUCUCUCCUAAACAAGGAUUUAGUGUGCACGGGUUGCGCAUGACCAUGUUGUGUUUAAUGACGUCAUAACGAGACUGCAACAACAACAGUAAAAUUAGGUCAAAGGCUGAUCAUGCACAACUUAGGAUGAAUCGUUAUAGUGUCAGUGGAAUAUUAAAGUAUCGUUAUAGUGUCAGUGGAAUGUUAAAGUAUCGUUAUAGUGUCAUUGUAGCAUCUUAGACUGUCAUUAGAAUGUUAUUACGACGUCAUUAGAUUAAACCAAAUCAUUGUGUGCAGUUGAGAAAAUCUACUCAAUUUACUUCUUACGCAUGAGCUCACACGUAAGACCGCACAAAUUAAUAUAAAAAUCGAAAGCCUCACAAAUUAAUUUUGAAGUAAAUUUUAGAAUAGUGUCAUCCAUACAUUUGUUUUGGUCGUACAUUUGUUUUUAUCGCAACAAUUUUUUGUUAAACUUUUAUCAUUAAUUUUUUGUAAUUUAUAUAAUUAGGCGGUUUAAAAUUAAAAGAAAAGUAAAAAAUUAAGAAAAAUAUAAAAAGUUAAAAUGAACGGCUGGAUAAAAAAUUCUCAAAUUUUAAUGUUAAUAUUUUGAAUUUGAGCACCACUUCCUGCUUUCCUCUCUCUCUUUUUUUUCGUUCGGCCUUUGGUUUUGGGGAUCGCCAUCCCCAGGAGCUUCUCCUUCGUCAACAAAAAGGUAUGAUUUCCAAUUUUCCAUUUGUUUUUUAUAUUAUUUUUCAUCGUCUUUAGCUGCUUUUGAGAAUUGAUCGAAACACCUAGAAGAAGUUGGAAUUUUCAGUCAAGAACUUAGCCGGAUUAUUUUCCGAUCAAAAGCUUAUAGAAGAAUUAACUGCUAGUUAUUUUCAUUAAGGUUUGUUGUUUUAUAACCUUGUUCUAGUUCCUCUGCUCGGCGGGCUUCUAAUUGUUUUGAUGAAUAAAAAUUUGAAUUUUGAUUCAGGGUGUGUUAUCAAUUUUUUGUCAAAUUAGAGCUUUUUCUUAUGUAUUAUGUGUAAUUGUUUCAAAGGGUUGGUUUUUUUUCCAUGGAAAUGACAAAGAUUGUUGCUUUUUCGUGUUUUAAUCGUGGUGCUUUUUUGCGUUUUCAGGUUUUGCUUUACAAAUUUGAGCUAAAUUAUGGGUAUUGUAUAGAAGGUCGUUGCGUUACGGUUUGUUUGCAUAAUUUCAGCGUUGUCUUGGAAGCAAAAGCCCAGGGAAUGCUGGAAGAUGUGCCUAAGUGCGGACUCUGCCUCACAACUCCAUGAGGUUGUGUCUAUAAUCGAACUGCCCUUCUUGAUUCUUGCUGGUGGGGAACCCGUAAUUCAUAGCUGGUUUGUUCUCGGUUCCCAGAAGCAAGUUGGGCCUCUUAUUAUGCACGCAGCACCGGUUGUGUUAAUGCAUGACCAUUGUGAAGAUGGUUGAGCUUCUGGUGGUAUUAUAAACUCCUGCUCUGUAGAUUGUGGAUCAUACGCAGGAGGAAGUAGUGUAUUUAUUGUUUAUUAGGUUUAGAUCGGGAUGGAGAAUAAAUCGCAUGUGCUGAUGCAAAGAUAUGAGCUAGGGAGAUUGCUGGGUCAAGGCACAUUUGCCAGGGUUUACUAUGCAAGGAGCUUGAUAACUAAUCAGGGUGUGGCCAUUAAGGUUAUUGACAAAGAAAAGAUUAUGAAGGUCGGGCUGAUGGAUCAGAUCAAGCGAGAAAUCUCUGUUAUGAGACUGGUUAGACACCCUAAUAUUAUACACCUCUACGAGGUCAUGGCAACCAAAACUAAGAUAUACUUUAUCAUUGAAUAUGCUAAAGGUGGUGAGCUGUUUAACAAGGUCGCUAAAGGAAAGCUGAAGGAGGAAGUUGCAAGGAAAUAUUUUGCGCAGUUAAUCAAUGCUCUUGAUUUCUGUCAUAGUAGGGGUGUAUAUCAUCGGGAUAUAAAGCCAGAGAACUUGUUGCUCGAUGAGAAUGAUAAUUUGAAGAUCUCUGAUUUUGGGUUAAGUGCCCUCGCUGAAUGCAAGCACCAAGAUGGGCUACUCCAUACCACGUGUGGUACUCCUGCCUAUGUUGCUCCAGAAGUUAUUAACAGGAAAGGCUAUGAUGGUGUGAAAGCUGAUAUUUGGUCUUGUGGGGUUGUUUUGUAUGUAUUAUUGGCAGGCUAUCUACCAUUUCAUGAUUCAAAUUUGAUGGAGAUGUACCGGAAGAUUGGGAAGGCAGAAUUUAAAUGCCCAAAUUUUUUCUCACCAGAGGCACGUAGGCUACUGUGCAAGAUGUUUGAUCCAAAUCCCAAUACUAGGAUUUCCUUAGCCAAAGUUAGGGAAAGUCCUUGGUGCAGAAAGGGGCCAUACUCAAAAAAUAUGAAAUCUGAAAUGGGAAACAAGGAUGUGGCUCGUACGAGCGCAGAAGCUUCUACUUCCAGUGAGAAUAUUAUGGCUUCUGAGGAAAAGCAAGAACCAGGAAGACCUCCGAACUUGAAUGCUUUUGAUAUUAUCUCCCUUUCUGCUGGAUUUGAUCUGUCUGGCUUGUUUAAAAAAGAUCCUUUUUACAAAGAAGCAAGAUUCACUUCCAGACAACCUGCGAUGGUCAUCAUCUCCAAGUUAAAAGAAAUGGCUAAGCAACUGAAGCUGAAAGUGAAGAAGAAGGAUGACGGAUUGUUGAAAAUGGAUGGAUUAAAGGAAGGUAAAAAGGGGAUUUUGUCCAUAGAUACAGAGAUAUUUGAAAUCACUGCAACUUUCCAUCUUGUCGAGGUGAAGAAAUCAAGUGGGGAUACUUUGGAAUUCCAGAAGAUGUUGGACGACAUAAGACCUGCUCUCCGAGACAUAGUCUGGGUUUGGCAAGGUGAGGAAGAGCAACAGCUGCAGGAGGAGCAGCAACAACAACAACAAGAAAUCCAGCCACAUCCACAAGAAGAUCAACUGCCUCAGCAUCCGCCACAAUAGUAAAGUUACCAGCUUUCCCCAUGGUAUCAUAUUUUUGUUUGUACAUUUUACAGUCUGAUAAGUUUUCAACUUUGCAUGUUUGUCCUUGCAAGUGUCAUGACCGGCUUAAUAAACUUUGUUCCUCUUAUACGUACAUGAUUACAAUGAUAAUAUGAAAUCUCGAUUGUUGUUUUUGACAUGCUUGCAUUUUUCUGCAACCAUGAUCUAUUCAUGGAUUUCGAUACCAGUUCUAUAAUUUGACGAUAUUUGGAGAAUUAGUCAAGUCAAUAAUCACAGGAUAAGCACCAGUUACUCUGCUUUUCUUGCCGCAUAAACCGCUUCUGCAUUGGGGAGCUGGAGUCGUCAAAUCUAUUUCUUUUUAUUUCUCAUCAAACGAAUGGUAUUACCCCGGCUCCACAAGGCCUGAGAUAGCUUUUUCCGGGUGACUGAUCAUCACCGCAACCAUAGUUGUCAGUUGUCACCCUGCACGUUGGCUCAAUACAACGCUACUGGAAUUCAUAUCAUCAUUUCAUCCCCUUCCAUAUAUUCAUUUCGAAAAGGUCAUCAGAUAGUUUAAUGCAUUAAGGAUGCUCAAACUCUCACCUUCAUCUGUUCCGGGAGGCGAGGACAACCAACAUAAUGCUUGGUGUACUGGCUGGAAAACAAGUUUCUAAUAAUGUUAAAAAUUGAGAGGGGCAAGAAGCACCCCCCCCCCUCCCUCUCCCCUUCUCUCCUUUUCUCCGUUGAUGAAUCAAAGAAACAAAUUUCACUUUUUUAUUAGUAACAGAAAGGUCAUGGUUUGAGUCGUGAAAACAACUCUUUGGAAAACAAGGAUAAGGCCCAUAAGGGUGUGUACGAUAGACGUUCUUUGUCCCCCCCCCCACCCUCGCAAAACGAGGAGCCUUGUUGUCUUGGAGCCACCCUUUUAGUAGUAACAGCAAAACUAUGUGUACACGAAUAAGUCCUCCUAGGGUUUUAAAGCUUGCAGCAGCCUUGCCUGACUGACUGCUUUUUAUAUAGUUUGGUUGUGCCAGACCCAUUCAAAUUGAAACUGGAAAAAGACCUUCACAUUAAACGUAAUAAGAACAUAGUUCUCAAAAAAAUUGGAAUUUGGAACGUUCCCGAAUGCCAAUCUUUAUUAAUCCUCAAAUAAAUUUGAUCCCGGUCGAUCAAUAUAAUCUGGAACCAAAUUGAUCCCAGAUUUGGUACAAACUAGAGUCGAACCAAACUGGAAACACCCUCAGAUGAAACACAAUUAAGUAUUUUAGAGUCCCAAUAGCAGGCCCUUGAAUAAAAACGAAAGUGCAUAAACAGAUGCAAACAACAACAACAACAAAGCCUUAUUCACUAAGUUGGUUAGGCUGGCAAUUGAAGUACAACCCCUUGAACCGACGCCAUGUAUUUUCAUCGACGCACCAGACAAGUCACUACAAGCUUUCACCAUCUUUUGAGAACCUGUAACAAGAAGUUUCAUUGUGCUCAAUGCUCAUGCAUGGCUCUGAGAAAUGUCUCUAAGGAAGGCACUGAUGUUCGUUUGAGAUGAUCCGCCUUCGUCAAUGGCAUGACAUAUCUGCUUAAGUUCUUUGGCCCUUCUCCUCAUCUCUCUCCCUUCAUCAUCCUCCAAAUCCAUAAACUUCUGCGCCAGCCCAGCAAUCUCCUCUCUUGUCACCAAAUGGUCCAUUCUGUCCUCAGCCUUCCUCAACCUCCACCCAACUUUCCAAUCCUCCACAAUCAUAUUACUAACCAUGCCUUGAUCCAUAAGUAACGGAAACGUCAGAAACGGGACACCAGCAAAAACAGCUUCCCUAACUGAGUUCCAACCACAAUGUGUCAAAAACCCACCAACACUAGAAUGGCACAAAACCCUCAACUGCUCACACCAAGGGACUACCAAACCCAUGUCGCCACAAGCAUCUUUUAACCUAUCCGUUUCCCCACGAGCCACCCAAAUGAACCGAACCCCACUCAUGCGUAAACCUACUGCAAUCUCAUCCAUUUGGGCACCUGAAAAAGAAAGAAAACUUCCCAUGGAGAUGUACAGAACAGAGCUGCAAGGUUGAGAAUCUAGCCAUCGUAGAUAGUCGAUGCCAGCACUCGGGUGAUCGUUAGAUUUUCCGUAGGGUAUUAAUGGACCAACUGUGUAAAUGGGUAGUGAGAACUUUGAUCUUAAAACGUCGAUGACUUGGGGUUCAAGCUCAUAGAUGGAGGGGAAUAAGAGAGACUGUGCUUUAGGCACCCAUGAGAAAUCUUCGUGGAUGUGGUGGAGAAUCCUUGGGGAUAUUCGAUUCAUGAAAUGAGGCAGGUCUGCUAGUCGUGUUGAAGAAACUCCUGGGAUGUAGUCCACCCGUUCAUUGCCCCUCUCUAUAAACACACAGGAGAGCAAAAAAAAUUAGAAAACGACAUGGAGGGCACAAAAUUGUGACCCAUGCGGUGAAAAACUUUCUUACAAACUCAUGAACUUUGUUGUUAAGACUUAAGCAUGCUCGAUCUAGUCCAAAUCGAACUUCAUCCUAAUUUUGAGCAAGUUAUGGGUUAACAUGUUAUUUUAAAACAUUGAAGCUCUUGAAAUGACCGUUUCACCAUUCCACAUGAGACACACACCGGUAAAACUUAAAAAGAGAACAAAAUUAGAUUGUUAAGUUUGAUAUGGAUGAUAUCGACAAGAAGUUUAACCACAAGGGCAUUGUUAACAUACAUUGAGCUUUGAUCCCAAAAUUAGGAGAGGCUAUCUAGAAAUUCUUUUAUUUUAUUUACACAAGCAUAAAAUUAGGGAGGAAUAUCGAUCACGUACCCAUAAAAAUGUAUAAGGCUAAAAAUAUGGGACUUGGCUUCUCUGUCCUCUCACUUCCCAUACACUCUUAUCUCCUCCUAUUUGUGCGGUCACGGUUAACUCACGUCAACAUUUUAUAUUACUAUUGUUUUUUAUCUUAUUAUUUCUAUAAAAAAAUCAAUAUAAAAUGUUGACGUAACUUAACCGUAACCGCACAAAAUAGGAGGGGAUUGAAGUGUAUGGAAAGUGGGAGGACAAAGAAGUCGGUUCCAAAAAUAUGUGUUAACUUACUACUUAAUCUAAUGGUACUUCUCUUUUCAUGGCGCCAGAUAUCCAAGCUUUCGACUUUCUAGCUAUAUUUAUAUAGCUACAAUUUUUAUAUUACGUAUAUACUAGCAUAGGCUGUAUAGCUAACUAAAAUAACUAAAAAUCAGCACCAAAAAGGAAAGAAAGAACAGAUAAAAAAACAACAUUCUUCAGAACAAUCAGAUAUGUUACCCAAAAGAGAAGUCAAUGUGACAGAGACACUAACCUAACAAUUCAACCGGAUAGUGCCCAUUUUGCGCUAAAAGAUCAAAAUGUUGGAAAACGGAGAAAAGGGACGCCGGCAUCGGCCAAAACGACGCCGCCGGGAUACUCCUCCGGUUCCCGACACGGACCGCCCAAGGCAGGAAAGUGUCGGCCACGAUCAGGCACGGAGGCGGCUCGAGCCGAUCCAUGAGCCGCUCGAACGGGGCCUCCAUCUUCGUCAUGAUGGCGUCGAUGAAGCCAUCCAUGUCGGCGGCGCGGACCAGCUCCGACGGGACGACGUUGGGAAUCGUGGUGAGUCGAAUGUUGUCCGGGGUGGCUUCGGAACCGAUGAAGCCGAGCCAUUCCUCCGUGACGACGAAGGUGAUGAGAAUGUCAGGCUUUUGUGAAGUCAGUAGCUUGCAGAGGUUCAUCAUCGGGUUGAUGUGGCCCCGACCGGGAUACGGCAUGGCCACCACGUGGCAGAUAGGGGCUCUCUGGUCUCUGGCGGGGUUCAUGUCUGCGUUUAUGAAGAAGAAGAUGUAACUUUGUAGUUAUAACUUAUAAGAGUGGUUAUAUAGAGAGGUAGGUACAGAGGAGAAAGAAGGCAGUUCGAACUGAAAUUAAGUUGGGGUUGCUUGAUGGGUAUGGUUGGCGACUCCAUUGAAUAUUCAAGGUUCCGUAUUUGGCUUGCUUGCUUGAUUUGGUAAAGGGAUUCUCUUGUGACGGAUCCAAGACGAUUAUGGCAUUUUUAAUGAUAAAUUGUUAAUUAUGAUGUUUAUAUUAAGAAAGGAAAAUUGUUAUUGGUAUUCUACAAUUGUCAUUUGACACUACAAAUUUUUUAUGUUUAGAAAGAACAAUACACGUGUGAAAUGCAAAUUGAGAUUUAUAGAGUCUAAGAACGGUUUUCUAAGACUAUCUCCAACACUUGGGCUAAAAGUUAAAUUUUUUAGUCCGGAAAAUUUAGCUUUUGGCUUAUAUCCCAUAAACAGUUUUUUUACUCCAACCCUUCUGGCCUAAAAUUUUAGCUCAGGAUUAUUAAAGAAUGAAUUUAGGCUAAUUUUUUUCUUAAAUUAACUUUAAAAAAAAUUAUGUAGACUAUCGUAAAUUAAUUUUACGAACAUUUUAAGCUAAAAAUAUUUAAAUUCCGAUUAAUAUUGAAAAAUUACUAAAUCGAUAUGUGAAACUCAUGAAACACUGUGAUGAAUAUGAAAAUCAUGAUAGAGAUGUAUAAACACAAAAUACAUAAAACACACAAGGUACACAGAACACAUGUGAAACACAUACAAAACACAUUUAAAACACGUACACAUGUGAAAGACAUACAAAACACAUGAUAGAGAUGAAGCACACAUAUAACACAUGUGAAACACAUGACACACACGAAACACAUACAAAAUACAUACAAAGCAAGCCUUCAACUUUCACCAAUCGAUCAACUUUCACCAAUCUUUCAACAAACUUUCAACUUUCACCAAUCGUUCAAUUUUCACCAAGGAUUUGGUUGAGCAUGUAUGGCGCCGAGAAGGUGAACGUUGAUGAUGUUAGUUAAGCAUUUAUGAACGUUGAUGAUGCUGGUUAAGCAUUUAUGUAAUAAUUUUAAAUAUACUAUGUUGGUAUUUUCUAGUAAUAAAUUUAAGUGUCUUCUUGUGCAAAGUAUUUUGUGUAGUACAUUGGAUAAAUUAUUGAAUGGAGAUUGAAUUAUUGAAGACAUCUAUUCUACAUCAAAGUGCGGAAUAAUAAAUACAAUAAUUAUUGAAGGCAUCUAGAUUAAUAUAAACAAUAAUUCAUAAGCCAUAAAUUUAAUACACAUGACAAUUAAUAAAGUACAUAAACUUAAUACAAACGACAAUUAAUAAACCACAUAAACCACAUAAACUUAAUAUAAUCGAUAAUUCAUACACUACAUAAACUUAAUAAUGAUAUCUACUAUCUUGACUUGGUGGUGGACUUGGGAUAUAGAGUUGAGAUGAUAUACUCCUUGUAGCAUACUUUCGCAAAAUUUCAUUUUGCUUACCACGUAAGAACUUCUUCAUUUUUAGAGUGUAUUUGUUGAGGUCCUCAAUCAUGAAAUUAAUUUCAAACCUAUCUUGCUCCCUAUCCCCUUCUUCCUUCAUUUGCAAACGCAUUUGGGCCGCUUCUUUUUUGCGAGCGCUAUGGGUUUCGCUCAAUCUUGCAAUUAUUUUAGUUAUUUUAGCCGUUGGAUUUAAAUUUGGGCCGUUAGAUUAUUUUUACCGUUAUAUUUGAUUAUUUUCGAUCUCAGCCGUUGGAUUCAAUGUAUUUUAAAAUUACAUUUUUUUUAAAAACAAAAUUUGAAUUUGGACCGUUGGAUCAACCAACCAAUGGUUCGUAAAGCCCAGCUGUAGGAUGUAGAAAAGAGCCGUUGGGCUCUGGUUGGUGGCCGACAGCGGCCCUGAUAGUGGGCCCCCCUGUCAGGCGCUGAAGCCAAACGGCUCGUGUGGGGCGAGUGCGCAAGUGAACGGGCCGAGAUUGGGCUCCCUUUGGGUGAGUCCACGCGUUUGUGGGCUAUUUCUUAGGGGGGUAUUUGGCCUUGGUUUGGCAUUUGGCUUGGGUUGGGUUUUUUUGGGGGGGGGGGAGGGUGGUAUAAAUGAGGUAAUUUGGCAAAUAGCCCAGGGUUAAGUGUGGUCUAAGAAAGAUCAUUUAUAUAUGUUGCGAAACUUUUCAAACUCUUUUAAAAUCUUUCCAAAAUCUCAAUUGAAUAUGUAAUCUUUUAAAUGUGUUAUUCAUGUUCAAAAAGUAUUAGACUAUUAAAAUACUGAGUCAGGUAUCAACACUUAAAAGUGAACAAGUGCAUGUGUGGAUCCACGUAGGUACGAGUGGUCCUGAGACAAACCUGAGGUAGGAAAAAAAAGCUAGUGAAGGUCCUUCGUGGACUAUUCAGAUGUUUUGUGUCCAUCCAAUGUUUAAUGAAUGAAUGUUUGGCAUAUAUAGAUAUCAUUUUGCUGGACGUGUCGAUUUCUCUUAACACAAGUUGCAUCAAUCAGCAAAGGAUCUCGACAGCACUUAGUAGAUACAUCUACGUGGCACGGCUCGAUAGAGGACAAUAAGCACAUCAAGCGCUCGACGUAAUUUCCUUUUUGAAACAAAAAAAAAAAAAAAAAACUAAAACAAGAUCUGCACGUUGCGUGCUAUCUUUGUUAGAAAAAUGAAGAUCAUUAAACCAAGACCCCUCAAGGUUAGAAUUUUGAAUCUGUCAAUUAACAUGUGCCUAGAAGUUUUAAACACUUUCAUCACAAACAUCAACAAAAAGUAGAGUUUUAUUUGAUAGAAAAAGAGAACAAAACAAGAAAUGCUCAAUCCUCACGCACGCCCUCUGCGAAAUGACUAAUGAAGGCCUUGAUGAUGGUAUGAGAUGAUCCACCUUCUGCAAUGGCAUCAUGACAUAACUGCUUAAGUUCUCUGGCUGUCCUCCUCAUUUCCUCCCUUCAUCAUCCUCCAAAUCCAUAAACUUCUUCACUAACCCUGCAAUAUCCUCUGUUGUCACUAUCCUCAACCUUCCUCACCCUCCAUCCAACCCUCAAUUGGUCACACCAAGGCACUACCAACCCCAUGUCACCACAAACCUCCUUUACCCUAUCGGUUUCCCCACGAACCGGCCAAAUGAACCGAACGCCACUCUUGCACAAACCGGCUGCAAUCUCGUCCAUUUGGAGUCGGACGCUAGAAACUGAAAGGAAACUUCCCAUGGCGAGGUACAAAAUGGAUGCAGGAAAAUAAGCAAGGGUCUCGAAGAGACGAGGGAUAGAACCUGGGAAUCGCUCAACCAAAGGCAACGGAGCUUGCUCAACCUCGCUAAUCGUGAAUUCACUCACACGAUCAAACCAAACGCUUGAUUUGAGAAGAAAGAAAAUACUCUUUUCGGUUGCACAAAGCAAUAUAUUUGUAAUUAAUCGUCUCCCAAAUGCUUGUAUUUCAUCAUAAGAGACUCACCAUAAUUUAGAUGAACUUAACAAAUUCCCGAAGUAAUUAAAAUAGACAGCCUUUAUUAUUCCCAAAGCAUAGUAGUGGUCUUCAAAUUGUUUUCUUCAAGGCCUGCCUCUCCCUCAUAAAAAACUGAGCUACAAGGUUGAGAGUCUAGCCAUUGGAAUAGUUAGCAUCACUAGUUACUUGGGUAGGAGGGUCAUUUUGCUCAUAGUAGGGUAUUGAUGGGCCCAUAGUGUAAAUGGGUAGUGAUAAUUCUGAUCGUAAAAUGUCGAUGGUUAGGGUUUCAAGUUCAUAGGAGAUGGCAGAGAAUAGCAGGUAUUGUGCUUUAGGUACCCAGGAAAAUGAGUUAAGCAAGAAUAUUUCGGUUGCUUUCAUAGAUGAACUGAGGGAGGUGCGCUAGUCGUGUCGAAGAAACUCCGGUAAUGUAGCUCACACGUUUAUUUCCCUGAUCUGUUAACAAUGCAAAAUUGUUGUUAUAAGUAGCAAACUUACACAAUAAAAACGAAAUCUUAAACGAAAUGUUAGACUUACAACACGAGGAUGUGCUCCUGUCAUAUACGUAAAACUAUCAGUUAACACUCACUAAUAUCUUAAGAAAAAUGUUCUCUUCCUGCACGUUGGCUCAAUUCAACACUACUGUCAUCAGAAAUUGUGGUAGCGACACUCAGAAGAUGGCACUCUCACCGGUGAUGUAAUAAAACCAAAUUGCAGUGUGCAAUCUUCUCUUACUUCUUGAUUGCAUCCAUAUAUGGAAGCUAGAACUUAAAAAUAAGUCCUCCAGGGAUUUUAAAGCUUGCAGCGGCCAUGCCUAACUGCUUUUUAUACAGUUUGGUUGUGCCAGACCCGUUCAAAGUGAAACAGGAAACACCCUCAUAUGAAACAUAAUAAGAACAAAAUUCUCAAGAAAAUUGGAGUUUGGAAAGUUCCCGAAUUCCAAUUUUUAUUACUCCUCAAAUGAAUUUGAUCCCAAUCAAUCAAUAUAAUCGGGAACCAAAUUGAUCCCAGGUUUGGUUCCCAACCAAACUGGAUACACCCUCAGAUGAAACACAAUUAAUUAUUUUAGAGUGCCAAUAGCAGCCCCUUAAAUAAAACCAAAAGUGCAAAACCAGAUACAAACAACAACAAAAAAGCCUUAUCUCACUAAGUGGAGUCGGUUGGCAAAACUAGAUGCAAACAUUCCACAUAGUUGAGAAUGCACUUGAAGUACAACCCCUUGCACCGACAGUUUGUAUUUUCAUCGACGCACAAGACAAAUCACUACCAGCUUUGCACCGUCUUUUGAGAACCAGCAACAACAAGAUUCAGUGUGCUCAAUGCUUAUGCAUGGCCUUGAAAAAUGUCUACAAUGAAGGCAUUGAUGUUCGUUUGAGAUGAUCCGCCUUCUUCAAUAGCAUCAUGACAUAUCUGUUUAAGUUCUCUGGCCCUUCUUCUCAUUUCUCUCCCUUCAUCGUCCUCCAAAUCCAUAAACUUCUGCGCCAGCACAGCAAUCUCCUCGCUAGUCACCAAAUGGUCGAUUUUGUCCUCAGCCUUCCUCAACCUCCACCCAACUUUCCAAUCCUCCACAAUCAUCUUACUAACCAUGCCUUGAUCCAUACGUAACGGAAAGGUCAGAAACGGGACACCAGCAAAAACACCUUCCCUAACCGAGUUCCAACCGCAAUGUGUCAAAAACCCACCAACACUAGAAUGGCACAAAACCCUCAAUUGUUCACACCAAGGCACUACCAAACCCAUGUCGCCACAAGCAUUUUUUAACCUGUCCGUUUCCCCACGGGCCACCCAUAUGAACCGAACCCUACUCAAGCGCAAACCGCCUGCAAUCUCAUCCAUUUGGGCACCUGAAAAUGAAAGAAAACUUCCCAUGGAGAUGUACAGAACAGAGCUGAAAGGUUGAGAAUCUAGCCAUUGUAGAUAGUUGAUUCCAGAACUCGGGUGAUCGUUGGAUUUGAUGUAGGGUAUUAAUGGACCAAUUGUGUAAAUGGGUAGUGAGAAUAUUGAUCUUAAACGUCGAUGACUUGGGGUUCAAGCUCAUAGAUGGAGGGGAAUAAGAGAUAUUGUGCUCUAGGCACCCAUGAGAAAUCUUCAAGGAUGUGGUGGAGAAUGUUUGGGAAGAUUUCACUAAUGAAGGGCAGGUCUGCUAGUCGUGUUGAAGAAACACCUGGGAUGUAGUCCACACGUUCAUUUCCCCUCUCUAUAAACACACAGGAUAGCAUAAAAAUUUAAAAACAAAAUGGAGGGCACAAAAUUGUGACCCAUGUGGUGAAAAAGAUUCUUAGUACAAACUGAACUUUGUGGUUAAGCAUGCUCGAUCUAAUCCAAAUCGAACUUUGUAUCCUAAUUUUGAGCAAUCUAACCGGAACUGGAUCCAAAAGGAUCUGAGUCCAUUAAUUAAUGAAUCUGGACCAUUGAUAUUUGAUACAACGAUUACAAUUAUUAUAACUUUAAAUGAAUCUUCUGUUUGUAAUCGUUAGAUCAAAUUUCAAUGAUCCGAAUUCAUUGAUUAGUGGGCUCUGGAAUGAAUCUAGUUCCAAUUUAACCCAUGUGGACAUCAUGUGCAAAGAUGAAAAGAUCAUUUUAAGACGUAUAAGCUUGUUAAUUUAUAUCUUAAAACUUGCUUGAAAAGAUCGAUUCACCUUUCUACAGGAAGCACACACUAGUUAAACUUAGUAGUGGACAAAAUUAGAUUGUUAGGUUUGAUGUGGAAGCACACACUGGAAUGAACGUUUCACUCUUUCAUGAAGUACUUUAAAUUCUUUUUCAAGAUUUCUUUGAGUUUUUAUUAAAUAUUAGUUCUAAAAACAUUUUUAUCAAAAAUAUUUUAAAUUAUUUAAAAAUAUAUCUAAAUAAGUUUUAAGAUAAAAAAAUGCGUUCGUAUAAAAAUUAAAAAUUAAAAAAAAAAGGGACAAAGACACUAACCUAACAAGUCAACCGGGAAAUGCCCGUUGUCUGCUAAAAGAUGAAAAUGUUGGAAAAAGGAGAAAAAGGACGCCGGCAUCGGCCAAAACGACGCCGCCGGGAUACUCCUCCGGUUCCCAACACGGACCGCCCAAGGCAGGAAAGUGUCGGCCACGAUCAGGCUCGGCGGAGGCUCGAGGCGAUCCAUGAGCCGCUCGAAUGGGGCCUCCAUCUUGGUCAUGAUGGCUUCGAUGAAGCUGUACAUGUCGGCGGCGCGGACCAGCUCCGACGGGACAACGUUGGGAAUCGUGGUGAGUCGGAUGUUGUCCGGGGUGACUUCGGAUCCAAUGAAACCGGACCACUCCUCCGUGACGACGAAGGUGAUGAGGAUGUCAGUCUUUUGUGAAGUCAGUAGCUUGCAGAGGUUCAUCAUCGGGUUGAUGUGGCCCCGACCGGGAUACGGCACGGCCACCACGUGGCAGAUAGGGCCUGUCUGGUCUUUGGUGGAGUUCAUGUCUGGGUUUAAGAAGACGACGACCUAACUCUGUAGUUGUAUAUAACUUUGUUUGGACCCAAAUUUACAUCAUCGGCCCAUGUAAUCAAAGCCGUUGAGUAAACGUAGUUCUCAACCGUCGGAUGGAAAAGUGGAGAUAAUUUUUAUUGUUAAAGGAUAAUAUUAUGAUUUUUAUCAUAAUAUUUAUCGUUUAAAAAAUUAUCUUGAUUUUUUCUUGUACAAGAUGAGGUGCAAAUUAUAUCUUCAAAGUGAGCAGUACAGUUCUAUUUAAUUUGGGGUUCUUGGGAUUUAAACGUGAGGUAGAUUAGAGCAUCGGAGUAUUUUAUUGUUAUUAUCCAUUUAAAAGUGGGUGAUAAAUGGUGGAUAAAUGUUGUUGAGCACGUAGCUUGGAAUCGAUCAAGAUGGUUUGUUGAGAUGCAUGCAUGAUGCAUGGAUGGGAUGAAAUUAUGAGAUAAAAUGAAUUUAAUAUUCAUUUAAAGGAAGCCUAGAAACGUAGGUCUUUUUGGUGAUGUGAUGAUACGGUAGGCUAGGUUUUUAAUGCUUAUUUCUUGGGUUGGUUCCGUGAAGAUGGAUGGAGGAAAGCAAGUGGUGAAGCCACGUCACCAAAGAUCAAAUCCUUUAUAGAUCAAGUCACGUCAGAUAUGGGAAUUUGAAAUAAGAGUCUGAUCCACGUCAAGAAAUUCUCACGCAAUACUCGGCAGCACAUCCCUAUAAAUACAGAGGCAGUAGCAACGAAGAGAACACCCCCACAAAAUCAAUACAAAAUUGCCCUGCGCAAACUUUCACAACUUGUGAUUUUUUUUUUUUCCUUUUUCGCUGACACAUCUUCCGUUGGCAUCAACAGCACUGUGGAAGCAACCGGUGAUAUCUUAAGUCGGCAUAGAUAGCUCUGUCACCGUAGAGUCAGUCAGUCUCGCAGUACCUUCCGUUGGCAUCAACAGCACUGCGGCGAGAACGAUUGAUUACCUAUCCAAGUCUCGGUCGAGAAGGGUUUCUAAAUCCUUAUUGGUCGAGGUCAUCUCAUCAGCCUUCUCGGCGAAGUGAGGUGUUACAGUUAUUACAUUCGGCACAUUGAAAGCCGAAUUUGAUAUUGAACUUCGUAAGAAUAGUAACCUUGUCUUCAGGUUCGAGAGCCCAAGAGGCCGAGACGUGUUCCUUUCUCGGCCGCAAUCGCAAGACGCAGAAGUCAGUAGCGCGACCCAACGCAACAUCAACAAAUUUACUCCUCGGCCGACGAGUUGGCACGCCCCGCAUUCACCGAAGGACGUAGUUAGCUCAUUAAUUACUCGGCUUGCGCGCCACGUAGGCUUUGUAGUUUCUAGGGUCAACAAACUUAUAAGUGGUUAUAUAGAGAUGGAUAUAUACAGAGGAGAAAGAAGGCAAUUACAUCUGAAAUUAAGUUUCCAACUUUCCAUUGUUGGCUUGGCUUGCUUGAUUUGAUCAAAAUACUCUCUUUUUAUGAAGGACUUAGAUUGUCUGUCCUCACAUCGGCUUAGAUUGUCUGUCCUCACAUCCCAUAUCAUUUCCAUGUCCUUUUAUUUAUGUGGUCAUGAUCAAGGUAUAAAAUAUCGAUGAUAUCGGAAAUAUCGGUAAUUUAAAAACACGGAAAAUUCGAUGGAAAUAUCGGAAUAUUAUCGAUAUCAAUAAAAAUUAAAUAAAAACCACGGAAAUUGUAAGAAAAACUUGGAAAUUUUUAUUGAAACUUUGCAGGAUGUUUAUUUAGUCAAUUAUCUAUUAGUUUAUCCCAAAACAAUUGGAAGGAAAUGCAUUGGAUGAUAAAUAUAACUGAUUUAAGUUGAAUAUAUAACGAGCUGGCAAACAUUGUGAGUGUAGAAAAUAUGUAGUAAUUAAUGAAAAAAGUUUAAACACACCAUAAUCAUUUAUAUAUAAUGAAUUAGUACAAUAUUUUACACUUUAUACAUUGCAUAGUAAGAUACAUGAGUGACUUAGCAAGGUCUAAAAUAUCGAUGAUAUCGGAAAUAUCGGUAGUCCAAAAAAAUAUCGAUAGUCCAAAAACACGGAAAUUUCGAUGGAAAUAUUGGGAUAUUAUGGAUAUUUUAGACCAUGGUCAUGAUUAAGCCACAUCAACAUUUUAUAUUCUCAUUACUUUUUAUCUUCUUAUUCUUUUAUAAAAAAUCAAUAGAAAUAUUGAUAUAACUUAACCGUAACCAUAUAAUAUAAAAGGGCAUGAGACAAACAUGAAAUGGAGAGAACAGACAUUCCAAGUUCUUUUAUGAAAGCUUGCUUGAUUUGAUAGAAAUAUUUUUUUAUAAUGAAAACGAUAAUAUUGCAUUGAUAGCAAAGUUACAAAAAGAAAUGCUAGGGAAGUCUUUCAAAAGUGAAGUUUUUCACAAAUUCUUUGACACUUAACAUUUUUGAGAAUUAUUUUUUAAGAAAACUAAUGAAAAGAGUUUGAAAACUUUGAGUUUUAAUGAUAAGGACAAAAUAAAGAGUAAAGUAAAUAGUAUCAGAUUUGACUUUUUAGUGUAAAAAUGUAAUUUUUCGUUAAAGUGAACAGUACCAUGGGCUUUUCGUUAAAACCCCCUUAUUUUUUACAUUGUUUUAUAAUGUUGAUACGGAAAUUGACGUUAAACUAUGAAGUGACAAAAAAUUGAUAAUGAGUCUCUAUUUUGAAAAAAUCCUUUUAGCAUUUCUCUUUUAGCACAAAAGGAGAACACAAAGGUCAGUCCAUUACCAUUGAUGAACAUCCUCCAAGAUCACAUCGGCUAUAAAGCCGGGAGGUGCAUCUAACCAAAUACAAGGACUAACAGCUCCAAGGGCAUAACGAGCUAGAUGAUGAGCAACAUUAUUGGCUUGACGACUGACUUGGGUAUAAGAAUCCUUAGCGAUCCUCCUCAGCCUCCUCAGUAGGUCUCUGGAAUCUUCAAAAAUAUGGCCAAUGGGAGACAUAUUAAUGGAAGGAUCCUUUAGUGCCGAGAUAAUCUAAAGCAAAUCGCUUGUGAUGGAACAAAGGCGAUUAUAAGUUUUUCACGAUGAAUCGUUAAUUUUUUUGUUUUGUAUGAACAGUUAAAUCAUUUUUAAACUAAAGUACUUUUCUAAAUUAAUUUUUAAAAUAAGAUAAAGAGAAUAAACAAUGUCAACUAUGACGUUCAUUACGAAAGAUGUUGCAUUAAUGAGGAAGGAGAUCUUCCCCCUUUAAUAAGAAUGAACUCUCCAAUAAGAAUGAGAAAUAGCACUAUCCUUCCUAAUAGCACUUAGAACGUGAACAAAUUUCUUUGUUCAAUUAUGUAUAGCAUGUCAAGUUCAUUUUUUUCUUUGUUAGAUAGUGUAGAUGUUAUACUGCCAAGAACGUGAACAAAUUUCUUUGUUCAAUUAUGUAUAGCAUGUCAAGUUCAUUUUUUUCUUUGUUAGAUAGUGUAGAUGUUAUACUGCCAAACUUUUAAAACACUUUUAAAAUCUUUAAAAUUUCAAUAGAAUAUACAGUCUAUUAAACAUGUGAUUCAUGUUCUCAUGGUAAAUACUGAGCCAGGUAUGAACACUUAAAGCAACACAAGUGCUUGGGCAGAUCCACGUAGAAACCAGUGGUCUCGGACGCUCUUGAGUUCGGAAAAAUGCUAGUGAAGGUCUUCUAUGGACUCUUUAGAUGUCUAGUAUGAAUUUUUUUUUUGUGCCAACCAUUUAAUUAAGGUAACUUUAACGAAAAACUCAUAGUACCGUUCAUUUUAACGAAAAACCAUAUUUUUACACUAAAAAGUCAAUCAUUGUACUAUUCACUUUAUUUUUUAUUUUGUUCUUAUAAUUAAAACUCAAAGUUUUCAAGUCAUUUUCAUUAGUUUUCCUUUUAAUUAAUGCAUGUUUGUCAUAUCUCGAUACACUCUGCAUGACGCGUCGAUAUCUGUCGGUAAGAUGCAUCACUCGACAUAUGGUCACGACAGCACUUGGUAGAUCUCAACAUCUACGUAGCAUGCCUCGACAAAGGACGAUAGAAACACCAAGUGCUCCACGAAUUAUGAAUCUGCCACUGAACAAGUGACUACAAGUUUUAAACACUUCCAUAAGAAACAUCAAGAGUUUUAUUUGAUAGAAAAGGAGUUAAGAGCACACAUUGGAAGGAAACUUAUUUAGAUUCUACACUAUUUUACAUACCAGAUACAAGGCUAAUUUGCAUACUGAACCUCCAAGCCCAAGUAGAUAUAUACCACGCACAGCCAUGUUAAAUGGAUCAUGGAUAAGGAAGUCGUGUCUCCAUUUGAAGAUUGCAGGUAGCUUUGCCAAUAUCCCUGAUAAAAUCAUCAAGAUUUGUAUCAGAUGAACCUCAUUUUGCAAUCACUCGGUGUCACAAAUCUCCGAGCUCUUUCGCUCUUCUCCUCAUUUCAGUCCCAUCACUGCUUUCAGGAUCCAUAAAUCUCUUCACAAGUUCAGCAACCUCUUCUCUUGUCAUCAACUUUUCAUCAUGUACCUCUGAUUUAACCCUCUUGCCAAUCUUCCAUCCUUCAACUAUUUGCCAGUUGUUUGGAAUUUGAUCGGGAAAAAGAGGAGAAGUAAGCAUUGGGACACCGGCGAAAACAGCUUCUAAAGUCGAAUUCCAUCCACAAUGUGACCAAAACCCACCCACAGAAGAAUGGCACAACACUUUAAGUUGCUUACACCAUGGCACCACCAACCCCAUACCAUCACUACCACUACAGCUCUCACUCAAUCGAGCCACCUCCCCCAACACAACCCACAAGAACCGAACCCCCGCUACAUUUCAGCCCGGCUGCGAUUUCAUCCAUCUGCAUGUUUGAAACAGAAAGAAAACUCCCCAAUGAGAUGUACAAGAUAGAGGCUAUUGGUUGGGAAUCAAGCCAUUUCAUAUAGUCAAUGCCAUUGUCACCAACUGACACAGAGGAAUUUUUUCCAAGCUCCAAGUAAGGUAUGGCAAGACCAAUUGGGUACACAGGGAAUGGGAGUUUCUCCUGGAAAGUGUUUGUGGCUAGAAUUUCCGUUGGGGAUGUUUCCUAGCGGACGAACACACAGCUCCCCGAGAGGUUGGCGCAGGUUGAUACUUUCUGUCGGGCUUCUGCUCACUGGCGGGCUUGUCGGGCAAAGCUUGUCGAGCAAGGCUUGUCGGGCAAGGCUGAAAGAAAAGGACAUGGUUAACUUUGAAAGGUGUCUUUAUAGGGCCUUAGGUGUAGGCCUUUAGGCUCACAAUUAAGAUUAACUUUUAGGUGUUCAGGCGUGCCAUUGCCAUCUUCAGCAUGGCAGAUGUAAAACAGAUGUUGAGUUUUAAUUGUAUAUAUACCCGAGAAGCUGUUUUAGUUUAUGAAAAGUGCCUUUAUGGGGCCUUAGGUGUAGGCCUUGAGGCUCUCAAUCAAUAACUAACCCAGUACUCGAACAUAUAAUGUUUGUUUCAUUGAUUGCAUAAGUGUUAUGACUAUUAUACUUCUAAUUACCCGAGCCCGAAAAGUAGAAUGAAUCCAAAUAUGUGCCUUUGUAGGGCCUUAGGUGUAGGCCUUGAGGCUUCCCAUCAGAAUUACUUCUAUACUCAAAUGUUCUACGAUAAUCAUAAUAUAACAGAAAUAAAACUAGGAAAUAGGUCGAUUACUUGCGCCCCAAGUAACUUCGGACUUCUUCUUAUCAAAGACUGUCGUGGAUGGGUUAAAUCCACAUAAGGUUCUUUUUUAUGCCUUGAGACCAAGGACUUUUGAAUGAUCAAUCUUACAUGUCCGAGGGUUUAGAACUUAGAUCUUAUUUAAACUGUGAAUACAGAUUCCAAUCGAAUUCAAGAACUGAGGAGUCUUUUAAGCAUUAACUUGCUAGAAAUAACUUGGAUACCAAUGGAAGUAUACAACAUAUUACUAGACUUAUGAAUGAAAAGACAAAAACAAAGAGGGUCGGGCAAGGUUUCACCUUGUCGGGCAAGGCCUGUCGUCUUGCAACUUCCUAUCUUUAUGACUGAUAAAGGGGUUUGAGAGCUUAGAGAAAAGGAUAGGGGGAUGAGUUUACAGAAAGAAAUCGAUACUACAGUAAGAUUUAGACAAGGUAGCAGAGCUUUUACAAAGGCUUUAGGGUUGAUCCCGAAAGGGAUGAAAGCUUGGGCUGACUACGGCUUCGUUGAAGGCAAAUCUGGCUUGAGCAAAGUUUGUGCUUGUAUUUGUUUGUUUGUUUGAGUGUCCUCAUCUCUGAUUUCUCUUUCUUCCUUUAUAGACAGUUUGACUUGGCCUUCUGUAGCAUUAAUCUUGCCUGAAUGCAGCUUGAAGGGCAAUGACUCAUCAGUUUUUUACUUGUACUGCCACUGUAAAGUGAUUUUAGGCUGAUUAGCUGGCUGGUCUACACCACUUGGUCUCUAAGUAGGUGAAUAAGUGGUUCAAAUGAUCUGCACAUAGUCGGGAAAAGGCCUUUUCUGCCUUCUGGGCUUUGGCUGAGCUUCGGGCUCCUUUCCUCCUAGUCCUUCUUUUGGGCCAAUUCCCUUUUGAGCCCAAAGUUCAAGUUUUAACCCAAACAGAAAUAGUGGAAGGUUUCAGGUUCGAGCUUAUAAAUUGUAGUGAACAGAAAACACUGAGCUUUUGGAACCCAUGAAAUGCAUUCCAGAGCAAGCUUCAUGACUUUAGGGUCGAUUCUUCGAAACACUUCUCCAAGGUCUGCUAAAUCAGAUGAAAAAAUCCCUGUAAUUUGGUCUCUAGAAUCUAUCACAUAGAAACAGAAAACUCAAUUUCCAUAUUAAUUUCAAUUUGUUAGAAAAAGGAAGAUCUUUAAAGUAAGACCCCUCAAAGUUAGAAUUUUGAAUCAGUCAACUAACAUGUGCCUAGAAGUUUUAAACACUUUCAUCACAAACAUCAACAAAAAGUUGAGUUUUAUUUGAUAGAAAAAAAAAGAACAAAACAAAGGCAAACAACAAAACAAGAAAUGCUGACCAGGUGGGACAAGGAUUAAAAUACUCAGAACCAGGGAGAAAAAAGUCGACCAGGACCAACAAAGAUAACAAUCGCUGUUCUGGUUUUCUUCCAUUAAUUGUUGUGUUUUCGGCUGGUGAUUUAGUAAUAGGGAUGGUUGGGGAUUGUAUUUCCGCUUUGUUUCUUUAGUAUUAUUUUGGAUCAUUUUCGCCCCUUUCAAGCCCUAAUUAGUUUUUGUCAGAAUUGGGGGAAGGGUUUGGCCCAUGUGGUCCUUGUCUUAAUGGGGAAGCUGAGUUCCCUAAUCCCCGACAAAAUGAGUCGGAAGGGGAAUCUGACACAGAUGAUUAUGCCUGACUGUAAUGAGACGAAACCCAUAACUACUAAAGGCUUCAGGUCUUCAAUUUCCACCGGAUACAGGUUACUCCAACCACCAAUAUUAAUUGCCAUUAUCUUAUAUUUACAACAAACAAAAGAAACUGAUUGUGGGGUGGAAAAGAAUACUAUUUACUCUGUUGUUAGACUGGAAAAAGCCCAUUUGUUGCACUUGAAGUACUCUGCAGUGCAAACGAGUCAAACUUUGCAGCUCAAUUCGGAUAUGGCGCAGCAGGGAGUGGAGGAGCUUAUGGUUCAUUUGGAGAAAGCAAUGGACUUGUUAGCUAUGGAGCAAGGUGUUAAACUUGUGGGUUCGGUGCUAGCGAACAAACCUCUAAACAGAUGGGGAGUGAGGAACAUUCUACGUGCGACUUGGAAGAGUUAUGGUGAAAUAAAGAUCAAAUGGGUAAAAGACAACAUCUUUAUCAUCACGGUCCCAGAUGAAAGUGUGGCAGUAAAGAUUCUUGAUCAGGUGCUUUGGAGGGUUAUGAAAAAAAACUUCUUGGUCAAUAUUUGGCCCGCAGUGCUUGCUUUGGAGGAAGUUGAAGUGGAGAAAGUCCUGUUUUGGGUCCAUAUACGAGGAGUCCCUCUUUGCAUCACCUCUUUAGAGAAUGUCAAACGGUUGACUACAGAGGUGGGGACAUGUAUGGCUAUGGAAGAUCCAGUAAAAACUCGCAGGUUUUUUAAGGUUAGACUUUUGAUUGACUCGACCAAACCACUAGUUACUGGAUGCUGGUUAAGAAGAGAGAAUAAUUAAGAUACGUGGGUAGAAUUUUACUAUGAGAGAUUACAAGAUUUCUGCUAUAGAUGUGGACGCCUAAGACAUGUUAAUACGGAUUGCACUUUUAAGGCAGCCAAAGCCGGGGCAGCAGGUUUCGGAGAUUGGAUGAAGGAACCUCCAGUUAGGGAUGUGACGGAGGUAUCAAAAGUCAUGAUGACAGGAACGGGUGAUCGAAGGAAAGCUGGAGCGGUCAGACUGCCUGCUACAUAUUUAACUUCUUUAGGGACUACUAGGCUGGAUCAUUCCACAGAGUUUUCUGCGGAUAGUGUAAAGGAUAGGGAUAAGGUGCAAGUUCAGGGAGAAGGAAGUGCUAUCCAACCAAAUGGGAGGAAAAAGUGGCAAAUGAGGUCUCGUGACCAGAGACACAUCGAAGGUUCGGUGGGGAUAAAUAAUCAGCUACAUUGGCUUAUUCCACAGGGUGUAAGACAAUCGUUAUGGGGCACUGGGUCUAGUUGCUAUACUUUUUUUAAAAACUUGAAUGUGUAGCAGCCGGGGGCCGGUAUGCAAUCGGUUGUUAUACAUGAGAUCAAUGAGGAGACGACUACAUUGCAACAAGUGGCUGAUAGGGGUAAAGUAAAUGAUCAGGGAGAGGGUGGAUCCUUGACUUUCCCAGACUCUUCUCCUUCGGUUAGAAAUAGACAGAAAAAGGAAAAGGGAACCUCUAGUGAUGGAAAUAUCACAAUCUCCUCAAAAGAAGGGCAGGGGUUCUGAUAAUGCUUUCUCUGUAAAAGAUGCGGGUCUUCUGGCCUGGGAUGGUGGCGGCUGGCCCUCAACAACCGCAAAGUCCCCAUGAUCUUUCUAUUUUGGAACUGCCGUGGUCUGGGGUCGGACAUAGUAGUUCGGGCCCUUCAUGGGCAGAUAAGAAAUGCAAGACCCUCUAUGAUCUUUCUUUCUGAAACAAAGAUGAAAGAUCAUAGAAUUAAUGGAGUACGUAGAAUGAUGGGGUUCACGAAUGGGUUUAAAGUUCCUCCCAUGGGAAGGGUAGGCAGCCUAAGUUUAUGGUGGGAGGAUUCAAUAGAGGUGAACAUUCUCUUCUCCUCUAAACAUGUAAUUGAUGCUCAGGUGAAGUCUUGUGAGAUACAGCAAUGGGUUCGUGUCACUGGGAUUUACAGAACAGCUUAUAGAGGCGAAAAAGCGGAAUUCUGGGGAUGGAUGAAUGAUCACUUUACCUCUUCUGAUAUGCCCUGGCUUUGUGGGGGGGGGGGAUUUCAAUGAAUUUAUUUGGGAUCAUGAAAAAUCGGGCGGAGCUCAUGGCAAGGAAUGAGGAAUGGCGAACUAGUGGAGGAACGUCUAGACCGAGGUCUGAUAAACAAGAAAUGGCAGGAUCUUUGGCCAAAUUCCACUGCUAUUCACGGGACAGUUCUGGGGUCUGACCACUGUCCGGUUAUUAUCAAAACGGAGUUGGAUGGAAAGAAGGGAAGAAAACUCUUCAGGUUUGAAGCUUUUUGGGCGAAGGAAGAUGAUUGCAGGAAGUUGGUGGAAAAUUGUUGGGCCCGGCCGAACUGUGGGGAUGUCCAAAGGAGAUGGGUGAAGAAAAUCUAUGACUGUCGAUCUCUCUUGAUCAAAUGGAGCAGAAACAAAUUUAAAAAAAAAAGGAGAUUACAGAUUGAGGAGUUACUCGGACAGUUGGGGGAACUUCAAAUGAAUUGGAGCACAAAUGUAUCCGAGAUAAAAGAGAAGUCCAAACUUAUUGAUACUAUGUGGGCUCAAGAGGAAAGUUUCUGGCACCAAAGGUCUAGGGUGAAAUGGUUAUGGGAAGGAGAUGCGAACACUAAGUUUUUCCAUCAAUCCACUCUACAGAGACGCGGACGAAAUAUGAUACUAAAGUUAAAAGAUGGUGAAGACAGUUGGGUGGAGAAUCCCACCCAAAUCCGGAAGCUGGUGGAUAAUCAUUUUCUAAAUGUUUUCAAAUCGGGGGGACCUCGGGACUAGAGAAACUUGCUAGAAGGCAUAAAUACUGGAGUUACAGAUGAGAUGAAUAUGGCUCUCAUGGAGUCGGUUUCCUUGGAGGAAAUAAAUGAGGCUGCUUUUCAAAUGGGGGGUCUCAAAGCUCCAGGUCCGGAUGGUUUUCAGGGGAUUUUUUACCGGUCUUUCUGGGAGAUUAUUGUGUAAGAUGUAAACAAUCUAGUGAGGUCUUUAAUGCAAGAUGUGGUCAGCCCGACGGAGAUAACUAACACCCAUAUUGUGUUGAUCCCAAAGAUUCCAAACCCAGAGUCAGUGUCUCAUUUUCGUCCCAUAAGCCUAUGCAAUUAUUCUUACAAGGUGCUAUCCAAAGUUCUGGCUAACAGGUUAAAAGUCAUUCUACCGCAAAUUAUUUCUCCUUCUCAGAAUGCUUUUGUGGCAGGAAGACAGAUUCAGGAUAAUAUUGGGAUAGGACAUGAGGUGUUUCAUUUUCUGAAAGGGCGCAAGUCAAAAAAUAAGUUCGAGUUGGGUAUUAAAGUGGACAUGCAAAAAGCUUAUGAUAGAGUCGAAUGGGAUUUUCUGAAUGCAACAAUGGAAAAAUUGGGUUUCUGCAAACAGUGGAGGAAACUUAUCAUGGGAUGUGUGUCUCCUGUCAAGUUUGCUGUCAUUCUCAACGGGCAUUCCGGAAACAAGUUUGCUCAUUCUAGAGGCUUACGGCAGGGAGACCCUCUAUCACCGUAUUUGUUCCUUCUGAUUGGAGAAGUUUUAUUCAGAUUGAUCCAAGUUGCGGUGGAAAACAAGUCUUUGGAUGAUGUGAAAUUGGGAGUCACUGGGCCAGUUCUUUCCUAUAUUUUCUUUGCAGAUGAUAUGUUAAUUUUUUUUAGAGCAAAUGAGAAAAAUUGCAGGAAUCUUGUCAAUCUCCUUAGGUCGUUCUGUGAUGCCUCAGGUCAGGAAGUAAACUUACAAAAAUUCAGUGUUUUCUUUGGGGCGAAUACUCUGGUGAGAGUUUCUGAGGAGUUGGGAUCUAUUCUUGGCAUGCCAGUAGUUGACAACCCGGGUACUUAUUUGGGAGUCCCGACUUUAUGGGGACGCUCAAAGAAACAGGGCCUCGCUUAUGUGAAGGGGAGAAUUAUAGAGAAACUUCAAGGGUGGAAAAACAGUACCCUUUCGAAGGCGGGCAAAGAGGUCCUAAUUAAGGCGGUUGUUCAGGCUAUACCUGCAUAUCCAAUGAAUAUCUUUAAAUUUCCGGCUAUGGUCUGUGAGGAGUUGGACACUUUGGUUGCUGGUUUUUGGUGGGGAAACAUGAGUGGUGACAAUAAAAUUCACUGAGUGUCGAAGAAGGUCUUGGGCCUCCCUAAGAAUUUGGAGGGUUUGGGCUUUCGAAACUUCAUGGAAUUCAAUGAUGCGCUUCUAGCAAAACAAUGUUGGCGUCUUCUUUGUGAUCCAUCCUCACUGUGUGCUAAAGUGAUUAAGGCUCGUUACUUUCCCAAUUGCUCUUUCUUGGAUGCCAAAAAAUGGGGUAGGGCCUCUUGGGCUUGGAGUAGCCUUCUUAUGGGUCGUGAUCUUCUUAUUAAUGGAACUCACUGGCAAAUUAUGGGAGGUCAGGAUGUGAGAGUCUGGGUUGAUCGAUGGUUACCCUUCAUUCCUUUAGAGCGUCCUUCUCCGCUUGGUGAGGCUAUGGUGACUAGAAACCUUCAUGUUAGCUCGCUUAUUUUCCCUCAGUCUCGUGAUUGGGAUAUCAUUUUUCUACUUCCUUUCCUUUCGAUGGCUGACCAAGAGGCAAUUGAAGGUACGCCUAUUGGGGAUAUUAGUAGACGAGAUCGUUUGAUUUGGGCUGCAACAAAAAAUGGUAGGUACACGGUAAAAUCUGGGUAUAGAUGGUUGCAAUCAAGGUCUCUGAGCAUGAGAGAUCAUCGCCUACCUCUUGUUCGAUCUAUCCCGGAGAAGCUGUGGAAUUGUAUAUGGAAGGUCGAUGUUCCACCAAAGAUCCGCCAUUUUCUAUGGAACUCUAUGCACAAUAUCGUGGCAACUAAAGCGAAUCUGUACAAGAGGCGGUCUACCACUUCCCCCACCUGUCCUAUUUGCUUGGGCGAUGACGAAAUUGUUGAACAUUUAUUCCUUGUCUGCCCGUGGGUUCAAGCUGUUUGGUUUAGAGGGGUUUUGGGUUAUAAGAUAAACAGGCUGGCUAUUAACUCAUGGAUAAGUUGGUUGCAUGAUAUUUUUAAUCCUAAUAUUGGUAAUUCUGUUGAGUUAUUAUGAAUCCAAAGGAUGGUGGCUUACAUUUGUUGGUAUAUUUGGAAAGCCAGGUGUGCUUUUGUGUUUAACCAGGUGCGAAUCAACCCAUUAAAUGUUGUUUUGGCAAUCUCUAAUGCGGUGAGGUCUUUCCUGGCUGUUUCCAACGAUUCGGUGGUUUCUAGGGUUUAGGAGUGUGUCGGCCAGGCUCCAGGCCGAGCCACUUUUUGGGUUCCUCCUCCUCCUCCUUUCACUAAAAUAAAUGUUGAUGCCAGCUGGUUCAAGAUGUCGUGUUUGGGGUUUGUGGGAGUGGUUUUACGAGACACUGAGGCUCAUUUCAUUGCGGUAGCUCGAUACCACAUUCGGGCCCCAUGUGCUGUAGUUGCCGAAGAUUUGGCUUUGCUUCGCGGAUGUGAACUGGGUGCAGCUUUGGGUUUUUCUGAGGUAAUCCUGGAAUCUGACUCUUCCGAGGCGAUUUCUUGCCUCUCAAAUUCUAUGAAGAAUGGCAGUUGGGAGGCUAGUCCUACAUUAGAAAGGGUGAAGCUCUUGGGGGAAGACUUUCAGAACUGUCGCUGGUCUUGGGUCCCAAGAUCAGCCAAUAUGGCGGUUAAUGCUCUUACGUCGCGUGAUUUUGCGGAGCUGUGUGAUGUUGUUUGGGUCGAUAGGCCACCAUCUUCACUGGUUUUUGUUUUAAACAAUGAUGGUCUUCCAUGUCCUCAUUAGCUGUAGGUGGUAGUGUAGGGGGUGACGUUUUUGCCUAGUGGAAGCGUCUCUGUUUGUAACUCUUUACACUGCCUUCCUUACUUUUUCUUGUCUGUUGUUUGCCUCUUUGUUGACUAUCUUGUUUCCUCUCUAGCCUCUGUGCCCUGGAAUACUAUUUCCUUGUUCUUCAAAAAAACAAAACAAAACAAAACAAAACAAGAAAUGCUCAAUCCUCACGCACACCCUCUGCGAAAUGUCUAAUGAAGGCCUUCAUGUUGGUAUGAGAUGAUCCACCUUCUGCAAUGGCAUCAUGACAUAAUUGCGUAAGUUCUCUGUCUCUCCUCAUUUCCUUCCCUUCAUCAUUUCCAAAUCCAUAAACUUCUUCACUAACCCUGCAAUCUCCUCUCUUGUCACCAAAUGGUCAAUUUUAUCCUCAACCUUCCUCACCCUCCAUCCAACCCUCCAAUCCUCCACAAUGAGGUUACUAUUCAUUCCUUGAUCAAGUAGUAUAGCUAAGGUUACAAAGGGAGCACCAGCAAAAACACCUUCCGUAACCGAGUUCUAUCCACAAUGACUCGAAACACCCCCCCCCCCCAAAAAAAAACCCUCGAAUGGCACAAAAUCCUCAAUUGAUCACACCAAGGCACUACCAACCCCAUGUGGUGACCGUAACCGAGUUCCAUCCACAAUGACUAGAAACACCACUCCUCCCCACACAAAUACUCGAAUGGCACAAAACGCUCAAUUGGUCACAGCAAGGCACUACCAAUCCCAUGUCACGACAAACCUCCUUUAUCCUUUCGGUUUCCCCAUGAACCGAACGCCACUCUUGCGGAAGCCGGCUGCAUGCUAGAAACUGAAAGGAAACUUCCCAUGGCAAGGUACAAAAUGGAUACAGGAAAAUAAGCAAGGGUCUCGAAGAGACGAGGGAUAGAACCUGUGAAUCGCUCAACCAAAGGCAACAGAACUCGCUCGACCGCUAAUCGUGAAUUCGUUCACACGACCAAGUCAAACACUUGAUUUGAGAAGGAGGAAAAUACUCUCUUCAGUUGCACAAAACAAUAUAUUUGUAAUUAAUCAAGUCUCCCAAAUGCUUGUAUUACAUCAUAAGAGACACCAUAAUCUAGAUGAACUUAACAAAUUCCCAAGUAAUUAAAAUAGACAGCCUUUAUUAUUUCCAAAGCAUGGUAGUGGUCUUCAAAUUGUUUUCUUCAAGGCCUGCCUCCCGAAUAAAAAACUGAGCUACAAGGUUGUGAGUCUAGCCAUUGGAAUAGUUAGCAUCACACGUUUAUUUCCCUGAUCUGUUAACAAUGCAAAAUUGUUGUUUUAAUAGCAAAGUUCCACAAUAAACACGAAAUCUUAAAACGAAAUGUUAGACGGACAACACGAGGAUGUGUUACUGUCAUAUACGUAAAACUAUUAGUUGACACUCACUAUUAUCUUAAGAAAAAUGUUCUCUAGCUGCACGUUUGCUCAAUUCAACACUACUGUCAUUAGAAGUUGUGGUAGCGACACUCAGAAGAUGGCACUCUCACCGGUGAUGUGAUACAACCAAAUUGCAGUGUGCAAUCUUCUUACUUGUUGAUUGUAUCCAUAUAUGGAAGCUAGAACUUAAAAAUAAGUCCUCCAGGGAUUUUAAAGCUUGCAGCGGCCAUGCCUAACUGCUUUUUAUACAGUUUGGUUGUGCCAGACCCGUUCAAAGUGAAACAGGAAACACCCUCAUAUGAAACAUAAUAAGAACAUAAUUCUCAAGAAAAUGGGAGUUUGGAAAGUUUCCAAUUUUUAUUACUCCACAAAUGAAUUUGAUCCCAAUUGAUCCCAGGUUUGGUACAAACUGGGGUCCCAACCAAACUGGAAACACCCUCAGAUGAAACACAAUUGAGUAUUUUAGAGUGCCGAUAGCAGCGCCUUAAAUAAAACCGAAAGUGCAAAAUCAGAUACAAACAGCAACAACAAAGUCUUAUCUCACUAAGUGGAGUCAGUUGGCAAAGCUAGAGCAAACAUUCCACAUAGUUGAGAAUGCACUUGAAGUACAACCCCUUGCACCGACACUUUGUAUUUUCAUCGACGCACAAGACAAAUCACUACAAGCUUUGCACCGUCUUUUGAGAACUAGCAACAACAAGAUUCAGUGUGCUCAAUGCUUAUGCAUGGCCUUGAAAA
rnacentral:lncRNA from 1 species